rnacentral:ribozyme from 1 species
UGCCCAGCAACUCCUAUCCCUACCUCAACGCGGUACCGGCCGGAAACUAUGAGCAAUAGGGUGUCCCAAAAUAGAAAAAG